rnacentral:lncRNA from 1 species
UCUUUAUACGACAAUUGUCUUAUUCCUAAUUCAUCUUUUUCAUGGCCAUAGUAAAUAUCAAUCUUUUUUUUCAGUGAAGAAUUUCAGUAAAGUUAUUUUUUUAAUAAUAACUCCGUCUAUAUUUCACUGAGGAAUAUUUAUUGUUUCCCCCGAUAAAAGACUACCUUGCCUAUGUACAAAUUCUUGCACCACCACUUAUUGCCCCCAAAUUCUAUAUACAUUUUAAAAUUUUCUGCUGUAGUUUAAUACAGCAGAAAACAGCAACAAAAAUAUCUGAGGUCAUGUGUAUUCCUUAAAAAUAACUUGUUUUGUUUCUUUUUCUUUUUCCUUUUUUUUCUUCCUACCAGGACAUUUGCAUAACUCUGUUUUGGAUUCAACUUAGGGUUCUCAUUUUGGGGGGUUUGAAAUAUAAUUAAGAUCUUAAAUCAGCAUACUCAGAUACUUUUAAAGCUCAAGAAAGUUUCUCCUUUUAUAUAAUUGACUAUGGCUUAUAUCAUCAUUUUCUAUUGGAGCUCCAUUCUCUAUCCUCCGUGUCUAUCAACUUCUCCUUCAAUACUUUUAUUUUUUGCUUCCUUUCAAUCUUCCUCCCUUCUUCCAUUCCUAACUUUCUCCCUCUUCUUCUCUCUCUCUCUUUUGCAACUUAAAAAAAAUUAUUGUCUCACAGAUUUUGUGAAUUUGGCAUUUGAGAUGACCUUAGCUAGUUAUUUCUACCUCACAAGGUUGGCCAGGGCUGCAGCCAUCUGAAGGUUUAGCCACAGCUAGAGGAUUCACUUCCAAAAUGACUAUUGGCAAAAGGCCUCAGUUCCUGGCUGUCGUUGGCAGAAGACCUCGGUUCCUCACCACGUGGACUUCAUAGGGACGCUUGAGUGCCCUUGGAUGCAGUAACUGGCUUUUCUCAGAGCAAAUAAUCCAAGAGAAACACUCUUCCAAACCAGCAUCCUCUCACUGGUCUACGAUAGUUUCAACACUGCUGUCUUCUGGAAUUGUGUUCACUGAAUACAGAAAGUAGAUGAGUAUGCAGAGCAGUAAGGGUAAAGAGAAUUAUCAUAAGAAAUGGACCCACAUUACUAUGGAGAACUGCAGUCAGCAAGCUGAAGAACCAGGAGAUCUGAUGGUUAAGUUCCUCUUCAAGAGAAGGAGAAGACAAAGGUCCCUUCUCAAGCAUCAGGUUAGAGGAGUUCUCUGCUACUUAGUGUUUUUUGUUCCAUUUACGUCUUCAAUUGACUAGAUGAGGCACACUCACAUCAGGGAAGGCAAUCUGCUUCACCCAGUCUACUAAGUCAAAUGUUAAUCUCAUUCAGAAAUACUCUAACAAACACAACCAUAAUUAUAUUUGACCAAAUGUGUGGGCACCCCAUUGCCCAAUCAUGUUGACACAGAAAACCAUCAAAGGAAGCGAAGCACCAGAUCUUAUUUAAGUAUUUAGAUUUUGUUUUUAAAGUAGACAAGGAGGAUAUUCUUCUGAGGGUAAUAACACCACCUGAUCUGUUUUGGGAAACAUAACAGCAGCAAAGAACCUUCUGGAUAUAUCUACACAUGGUUCUAAUAAGAAUGGUCUUUGCAGCAUAUUUCUAAUAUCAAAAACUUUAAACAACAUAAGUGUUCAUCAAAAGAAAAAUGGCUAAAUAUAUUUUGGAUUACAGCAUAUUGACAUAAUAAAAUAUUGUGUAACCAGUUAAGAAAAAACAAAUUGAGGAAGUUAUUUAAACUGAUAGGAAAUUAUCUCCAAAAUAUAUUAAUUGAAAAAGCAAGAUGUGAAACAGUACAUACAGAAUGCUACUAUAUAAGAAAGAAAAUAGGAGAAGAAUUAUUUUACUUGCAUAUGCAUAUUAUCUAGAAUGACAGAAGAAACUGGUGGCAUUGAUUGGCUUCAGAAAUAGAACAGAGGGGUUAGAAAGCAGGAAACAUUGCUGCGAAGGCUUUUGCAGUUGUUAAAUUUAGAAAUGUGCACAAAAGUCUGUAGCAUUUGUUAUACCAAUACUGAACUAUCUGAAAAAGAAAUCAAGAAAAAAAAUCCCAUUAACAACAGCUACAGAAAAAUAGUACCUAGAAGAUGAACGAUCUCUGCACUGAAAACUAUGAAACAUGUAUGGAAGAAAUAGAAGAGAACAUAAAUAAAUGGAAAGAUAUUCCAAGUUCACCGAUUAGAAGAAUUAAUAUCAUUAAAUGUCUACACUGCCCAAAGUAAACUACAAAUUCUGCACAGUCCCUAUCAAAACACUAAUGACACUUUUCACAGAAAUAGAAAAAAAAGAUACUAAAUUUGCAUGAAACCACAAAAGAUCCAGAAUAGCAAAAGCAAUUUUGACGAAAAAAAAAAAAAAACAUAGCUGGAGACAUUACACUACCUAACUUCAAAUUCUACUUCAAAGCUAUAGUAAUCAAAACAGCAUGGUACUGGCAUUAAAAGCAGGCACAUAGAUUAGCAGAAGAGAAUGGAGAACUCAGAAACAAAACCAUGCAUGUACAUCCAACUGAUUUUCAACAAAGGUAUGAAGAACAGACAUGGAGAAAGGAUACUUUUCAAUAAAUGGUGGUGGAAAAAUUGGAUCUCCACAUACAGAAGAAUGAAACUAAACCUCUAUCUUUCAACAUAUACAAAAAUUAACUCAAAAUGGACUAAAGACUUUAAUUUAAGACCUAAGACUAUAAAGCUACUCUAAGAAAACACAGAGAAAAUGCUUUAUAACACUGGUUUGGGCAAGGAUUGUUUUGGAUAGGAUCUUAAAAGUAUAAGUCACAAAAACAAAAAUACAGAAAUGAGAUUACAUGAAACUAAAAAGCUGCUACACAGCAAAGGAAACAAUCAACAGAGUGGAGGUACAACCUACAAAAUGGUAGAAAACAUUUGCAAACAAUACAUCUGACAAGAGGUUUCCAGAAUAUACAAGAAACUCAAACAACCCAAUAGCAAAAAGAAUAAAUAGUGCCAUUAAAAAUUGGGCAAAGGACAUGAGUAGAUAUUUCUCAAAAGAAGACAUGUAAAUGGCCAAUAGGUGUAUGCAAAAAUACUCAACAUCAUCAAUUGUCAUGGAAAUGCAAAUCAAAACCUCAAUGAGGUAUCACCUAACUCCAGUUAGACGGGCUAGUAUUGAAAAGACAAAAUCUGACAAGUGUUGGCAAGGAUACGGAAAAACCUGAAUGCUUACACACUGUUGAUGGUAAUGUAAGUUAGUACAGUGAUUAUAGAAAAUGAUACGAUGUUUCAUUAAAAAAUUUAAAAUAGAAUUAUCAUGUGAUCCAGCAACCCUACUAUUGGUUAUAUAUCCAAAAGAAAUAAAACCAGUAUAUUGAAAAGA